GACGAACGCUGGCGGCGUGCCUAAUACAUGCAAGUUGAGCGAUGAAGAUUGGUGCUUGCACCAAUUUGAAGAGCAGCGAACGGGUGAGUAACGCGUGGGGAAUCUGCCUUUGAGCGGGGGACAACAUUUGGAAACGAAUGCUAAUACCGCAUAACAACUUUAAACAUAAGUUUUAAGUUUGAAAGAUGCAAUUGCAUCACUCAAAGAUGAUCCCGCGUUGUAUUAGCUAGUUGGUGAGGUAAAGGCUCACCAAGGCGAUGAUACAUAGCCGACCUGAGAGGGUGAUCGGCCAACUUGGGACUGAGACACGGCCCAAACUCCUACGGGAGGCAGCAGUAGGGAAUCUUCGGCAAUGGACGAAAGUCUGACCGAGCAACGCCGCGUGAGUGAAGAAGGUUUUCGGAUCGUAAAACUCGGUUGGUAGAGAAGAACGUUGGUGAGAGUGGAAAGCUCAUCAAGUGACGGUAACUACCCAGAAAGGGACGGCUAACUACGUG
rnacentral:rRNA from 1 species